AAGCACAUGGAAACCAUGACUCAGAGAAGUAGUGAUGACUAGGAGAUGUGACACUGGUCUGCAAGUGAGGAGAUCCACACACUGAAACUGAUUGAACAUUUCCGUUGUGCUGCUUUGGACUGGGAGCUCUCCAGAGUCACAAUUGGUUAAUAUGUAUUUCCCUAGCACAUUCCCUGUAAAUGGUCCCCUGAAGCAAAGGGUAUUGAGGCACUUGACAGGGUGGUGAGGCACUGGAGCAGGUUGUGUCCUGUGAGGUGUCCCUGACCAUGGCAGGGUGUUGGAACUGAAUGAUCUUAAAGUCCUUUCCAACCGUAACCAUUCUGAUUCUAUGAAACCAGGGUUCAGUAAUCCAGACUGUUCUCUGGCUUUAGGGACUGCUCAGACCAUAUCCUGGGCACCAUAAAAAUGAAGAAGAGUGCAGAUAAACUGAUCUCCAGUGUAUGCACACCAGUCCAGACCAUGGUUACUCCAUGCUGUGUUACAGAUCUGCAAAGAAAACACAAUAGUCCCGGGAAUACAAAACCAAACUGAAAUUCCUGAGUCACUGGCACCUACAGUCUUGUUCCUAAAGACACCAUAUCAGAUAAGACCCAGGCACCUGGCUGAUCCUUGCUCUGGAGGAAGCCAGGCCUUUAAAAAGGCACUCACACAAUCAUGGUGGGAGUUACAGGGAUAGCUGCUGCUUGUUUGGCAUGCCGGGUGACGAGGAACAGAAACCCUAACACAUCCCAUUUGAACACUGAAAACAAAUAGUUCCACUUCCAUAAGCUGUUCCUCACAAGUUCCCUCUCUGGUGGAAAGCAUGUUUUUAAUAAUGCAAACCAGAACUGAAUUGAAUCACACCUCUGAGGCCUCCUAGUGCAGUACACCUAUAAGUGGUAUUCCCAGCUUCUCUCUUUCUCUGAAGCUCUUGGCUCUUAACACAAAAUCUCUUUCUUCCAUCCCUUCAUACCAGCUUGUCGGACACCCACGUGCUAUUUUAUGCAGGUAACAAAGUCUUUGGCAGGGUGCUUGGGCUAAAGCACAGGUAGCUGUAGCCAGAAAGUCAAGUGAUUCCUCCCCAGAUUUGGGGUUCCAUCCCAAAGGUAGCUUCUGCUCUUGAGCCGCAGAGUCAAUCAGACCAGCAGAGUCACUCUGUAAGUGUAACCUAAUCUUCCAUUCUAAGGUCUUGAUACGAUUUCUGGACAGGACAUGGCUAAACAAAGUGAUCUGCACAACCUCAGAGCUGGUGGCAGUCUGCUGGUCGCAUCGGUUAGCAUGUUGUGUGUCAUCCAGUGGUGUGUAAACUUUAUUAUUCUAAAAUAAUAAAUUAUUUUCAUUUAUUUUAAAUAAA